rnacentral:rRNA from 1 species
UACGUAGGGUCCGAGCGUUGUCCGGAAUUAUUGGGCAUAAAGAGCUCGUAGGCGGUUUGUCGCGUCUGCUGUGAAAUCCCGAGGCUCAACCUCGGGCCUGCAGUGGGUACGGGCAGACUGGAGUGCGGUAGGGGAGAAUGGAAUUCCUGGUGUAGCGGUGAAAUGCGCAGAUAUCAGGAGGAACACCGGUGGCGAAGGCGGGUCUCUGGGCCGAUACUGACGCUGAGGAGCGAAAGCGUGGGGAGCGAACAGG